rnacentral:rRNA from 1 species
UCAAGCGAAUAAGGGUCUACGGUGGAUGCCUUGGAGCUGUCUGACGAAGAAGGACGUGGUAAGCUGCGAAAAGCGGCGGUGAGGAGCAAACAUCCAGUGAACCGCCGAUGUCCGAAUGGGGUAACCCGGCAUUCUGGAAUGGAUGUCACUGUAGAGUGAAUAAAUAGCUUUAUGGAGGAAGACUCAGGGAACUGAACCAUCUAAGUACCUGAAGGAAAAGAAAUCAAACGAGAUUCCCGAAGUAGCGGCGAGCGAAACGGGAAGAGCCUAAACUGCAUGUGUGCCAAGGCUUAUACCGUUGCAUAUGCAGGGUUGCAAGGGCUUAUUGGGGGAAGUAUAAGAUUCCCCGCUGAGUUACAAAACUUAUAUAUAUAAGAAUGUGUCUGGAAAGCACAGCCGGAGAGGGUGAAAGCCCCGUAUUUUAAAUAUAUGAGACUCAGUGGAUAAGCUCCUUAAGUAGGGCGGGACACGAGGAAUCCUGCUUGAAUCCGGGUGGACCACCAUCCAAGGCUAAAUACACGACAGCUACCGAUAGCGCAUAGUACCGUGAGGGAAAGGUGAAAAGUACCCCGGGAGGGGAGUGAAAUAGAACCUGAAACCGUAGACUUACAAGCGGUCGGAGGAGAUGCUUGCAUCUUUGACGGCGUGCCUUUUGUAGAAUGAACCUGCGAGUUACUAUAUGUUGCGAGGUUAAGGGAUAGGAGUCCCGGAGCCGAAGGGAAACCGAGUCUUAAAAGGGCGAAUAGUAUCAUGUAGUAGACCCGAAGCCGAGUGAUCUAUCCAUGGUCAGGUUGAAGCUCUGGUAACACAGAGUGGAGGACCGAACCCUAGUCUGUUAAAAAAGGCAGGGAUGAACUGUGGAUCGGAGUGAAAGGCUAAUCAAACUCGGAAAUAGCUGGUACUCCCCGAAAUAGCUUUAGGGCUAGCCUCAUAUGGAUAUUAUUGGAGGUAGAGCACUGAAUGGGCUAGGGCCCUUCACCGGGUACCAAACUCAAUCAAACUCCGAAUGCCAAUAAUCAAUAUAUGGGAGUCAGACUGCGGGUGAUAAGAUUCGUGGUCGAAAGGGAAAGAGCCCAGAACGUCAGCUAAGGUCUCAAAUCUAUGCUAAGUGGAAAAGGAAGUUCAGUUGCAAAGACAGCCAGGAGGUUGGCUUAGAAGCAGCCACUCCUUUAAAGAGUGCGUAAUAGCUCACUGGUCGAGUAGCUGAGCGCCGACAAUGUAACGGGGCUAAGCAUAGAACCGAAGCUACGUCACUAAUUAAUUAGUGGGUAGGGGAGCAUUCUGUAGGCCGUAGAAGGUUAACUGAGAGGUUGGCUGGAGGUAUCAGAAGAGAGAAUGCAGGUAUGAGUAACGAAAAGAGGGGUGGGAUCCCCCUCCGCCGAAAACCUAAGGUUUCCAGGGUUAAGUUAAUCUUCCCAAGGGUUAGUCGGCCCCUAAGGUCAGGCUGAAAAGCGUAGCCGAUGGGAAACUGGUUAAUAUUCCAGUACCUCUCUUAAUUGCGAUGGGAUGACGCAUAAGGUGAAGCGUGGCCCGGCGACGGUAGUCCGGGUUUAAACAACAAGGUGAAGAAGGCAGUAGGCAAAUCCGCUGUUUGAGCCAAGUUGUGAAGACGAGUGAAACUACGGUGGAGCGAAGCAUGUGGAAUCAUCGUGCCGAGAAAUAAUCUCUAAGCACUAGAUUAAGAGGGACCGUACCGCAAACCGACACAGGUAGGUGGGAUGAGUAUUCUAAGGCGUACGGAAGAACUCACGUUAAGGAACUCGGCAAAAUACAUACGUAACUUAGGGAGAAGUAUGGCCCUUGGUGGAUGUUCUUUAAUUAGGACGUUUGUUGGGGGUUGCAGAUAAGAGGGGCAAUCGACUGUUUACCAAAAACACAGGUCUGUGCGAAUCUGUAAAGAGAAGUAUACGGACUGACACCUGCCCGGUGCUGGAAGGUUAAGAGGAGAUGUUAGCGCUUGCGCGAAGCUUCGAAUUGAAGCCCCAGUAAACGGCGGCCGUAACUAUAACGGUCCUAAGGUAGCGAAAUUCCUUGUCGGGUAAGUUCCGACCCGCACGAAUGGUGUAACGCGGUGAAAUUGAAGUAUCGGUGAAGAUGCCGAUUACCUGUGGUUAGACGGAAAGACCCCGUGAACCUUUACUGCAGCUUUGCAUUGAAAUGUGGCUUGUUAUGUGUAGGAUAGGUGGGAGACACUGAAGUAUGGUCGUUAGAUUGUAUGGAGUCGUUGGUGAAAUACCACCCUUAUCAAGUUAUGUUUCUAACGGGUACCAUGAAGCUGGUAUCUGGACAAUGUAAGGUGGGCGGUUUGACUGGGGCGGUCGCCUCCUAAAGAGUAACGGAGGCGCGCGAAGGUAACCUUGCGCUGGUUGGAAAUCAGUGUGUAAGUGCAAAGGCAAAAGGUUGCUUGACUGCGAGACUUACAAGUCGAGCAGGUACGAAAGUAGGUCUUAGUGAUCCGGCGGUCCCGCGUGGAAGGGCCGUCGCUUAACGGACAAAAGGUACUCCGGGGAUAACAGGCUGAUUUUGCCCAAGAGUUCAUAUCGACGGCAAAGUUUGGCACCUCGAUGUCGGCUCAUCGCAUC